GUGUUACUACUGCUACUCAUGAUGAUCUUGUUAUUCUCCGUGACCAUGAUUCAGUCAAUCUUGUAUCAGAUGAGAGCAUGUGGAUAAUUGACAGUGGUGCUACGCUGCAUGUUACACCGAGGAAGGAGUUCUUCACAUCUUACACUUCUGGUGAUUUUGGAGUGUUGAAGAUGGGUAAUGAUGGUACCAACAUGGGAGUGCAGUUAUUGCUUAGAGGAAUCAAACAUGCUCCAGAUGUUCGCUUUAAUUUGAUAUCUGUGCAGAUGCUUGAUGAUGGUGGUUAUGAUAAUCACUUUGGUUCAGGGAAAUGGAAACUCACCAGAGGUAACUUGGUUGUGGCUAGAGGGGAGAAAAUCAAUAAACUGUAUUGGACAAAAGCUUUGGUUGCUAGAGACAGUGUGAACGCUAUGCAUAUGGAGGCUUCUUUGUGGCACCGAAGGCUUAGUCAUAUUAGUGA